AUAUCCUUAACCGAACUACAUUUUAGUAAAGCAUAAAUUAUUGCAGUGUAAGGAGUUCUGAAGCAAGAUCUUUUGCCUCUCCAAAAUCCUUAUUAGGUGCUAGGUGU